rnacentral:rRNA from 1 species
UACGUAGGGUGCAAGCGUUGUCCGGAAUUAUUGGGCGUAAAGAGCUCGUAGGCGGUCUGUCGCGUCGGCUGUGAAAACUCGGGGCUCAACUCCGAGCCUGCAGUCGAUACGGGCAGACUAGAGUGCGGUAGGGGAGACUGGAAUUCCUGGUGUAGCGGUGAAAUGCGCAGAUAUCAGGAGGAACACCGGUGGCGAAGGCGGGGUCUCUGGGCCGAUACUGACGUGGAGGAGCG